GGGCGUGUAGCUCAGGUGGUUAGAGCGCACGCCUGAUAAGCGUGAGGUCGAUGGUUCGAGUCCAUCCAUGCCCACCA
rnacentral:tRNA from 2 species